UGGGCGUAAAGCGAGCGCAGACGGUUUAUUAAGUCUGAUGUGAAAGCCCGGAGCUCAACUCCGGAAUGGCAUUGGAAACUGGUUAACUUGAGUGCAGUAGAGGUAAGUGGAACUCCAUGUGUAGCGGUGGAAUGCGUAGAUAUAUGGAAGAACACCAGUGGCGAAGGCGGCUUACUGGACUGCAACUGACGUUGAGGCUCGAAAGUGUGGGUAGCAAACAGGAUUAGAUACCCUGGUAGUCCACACCGUAAACGAUGAACACUAGGUGUUAGGAGGUUUCCGCCUCUUAGUGCCGAAGCUAACGCAUUAAGUGUUCCGCCUGGGGAGUACGACCGCAAGGUUGAAACUCAAAGGAAUUGACGGGGACCCGCACAAGCGGUGGAGCAUGUGGUUUAAUUCGAAGCAACGCGAAGAACCUUACCAGGUCUUGACAUCCUUUGAAGCUUUUAGAGAUAGAAGUGUUCUCUUCGGAGACAAAGUGACAGGUGGUGCAUGGUCGUCGUCAGCUCGUGUCGUGAGAUGUUGGGUUAAGUCCCGCAACGAGCGCAACCCUUAUUGUUAGUUGCCAGCAUUCAGAUGGGCACUCUAGCGAGACUGCCGGUGACAAACCGGAGGAAGGCGGGGACGACGUCAGAUCAUCAUGCCCCUUAUGACCUGGGCUACACACGUGCUACAAUGGCGUAUACAACGAGUUGCCAACCCGCGAGGGUGAGCUAAUCUCUUAAAGUACGUCUCAGUUCGGAUUGUAGUCUGCAACUCGACUACAUGAAGUCGGAAUCGCUAGUAAUCGCGGAUCAGCACGCCGCGGUGAAUACGUUCCCGGGUCUUGUACACACCGCCCGUCACACCAUGGGAGUUUGUAAUGCCCAAAGCCGGUGGCCUAACCUUUUAGGAAGGAGCCGUCUAAGGCAGGACAGAUGACUGGGG
rnacentral:rRNA from 1 species